rnacentral:rRNA from 1 species
AACGAACGCUGGCGGCAGGCUUAACACAUGCAAGUCGAACGCCCCGCAAGGGGAGUGGCAGACGGGUGAGUAACGCGUGGGAAUCUACCCAUCCCUACGGAACAACUCCGGGAAACUGGAGCUAAUACCGUAUACGCCCUACGGGGGAAAGAUUUAUCGGGGAUGGAUGAGCCCGCGUUGGAUUAGCUAGUUGGUGGGGUAAAGGCCUACCAAGGCGACGAUCCAUAGCUGGUCUGAGAGGAUGAUCAGCCACAUUGGGACUGAGACACGGCCCAAACUCCUACGGGAGGCAGCAGUGGGGAAUAUUGGACAAUGGGCGCAAGCCGGAUCCAGCCAUGCCGCGUGAGUGAUGAAGGUCUUGGGAUUGUAAAGCUCUUUCACCGAUGAAGAUAAUGACGGUAGUCGGAGAAGAAGCCCCGGCUAACUUCGUGCCAGCAGCCGCCGUAA